rnacentral:rRNA from 1 species
UACGUAGGGUGCAAGCGUUGUCCGGAAUUACUGGGCGUAAAGGGCGCGUAGGCGGACAGUUUAGUCAGAGGUGAAAGCCCAGGGCUCAACCUUGGAAUUGCCUUUGAUACUGGCUGUCUUGAGUACGGGAGAGGUGAGUGGAACUCCGAGUGUAGAGGUGAAAUUCGUAGAUAUUCGGAAGAACACCAGUGGCGAAGGCGACUCACUGGCCCGUUACUGACGCUGAGGCGCGAAAGCGUGGGGAGCAAACAGG